rnacentral:rRNA from 1 species
UACGUAGGGUGCAGGCGUUAAUCGGAAUUACUGGGCGUAAAGCGCGCGCAGGCGGUUUUUUAAGUCAGAUGUGAAAGCCCCGGGCUUAACCUGGGAACUGCGUUUGAAACUGGGAGACUUGAGUGUGGCAGAGGGGGGUGGAAUUCCACGUGUAGCAGUGAAAUGCGUAGAUAUGUGGAGGAACACCGAUGGCGAAGGCAGCCCCCUGGGUUAACACUGACGCUCAUGCACGAAAGCGUGGGGAGCAAACAGG